UACGUAGGGGGGCAAGCGUUGUCCGGAUUUAUUGGGCGUAAAGAGCGUGUAGGCGGCCACACAGGUCAGCUGUGAAAACUCGAGGCUCAACCUCGAGACGUCGGUUGAAACCGUAUGGCUAGAGUCCGGAAGAGGAGAGUGGAAUUCCCGGUGUAGCGGUGAAAUGCGCAGAUAUCGGGAAGAACACCCGUGGCGAAGGCGGCUCUCUGGGACGGUACUGGACGCUGAGACGCGAAAGCGUGGGGAGCGAACAGG
rnacentral:rRNA from 1 species